rnacentral:rRNA from 1 species
GUAGGUGGCAAGUGUUGUCCGGAAUUAUUGGGCGUAAAGCGCGCGCAGGCGGUUCUUUAAGUCUGAUGUGAAAGCCCACGGGCUCAACCGUGGAGGGUCAUUGGAAACUGGAGAACUUGAGUACAGAAGAGGAAAGCGGAAUUCCACGUGUAGCGGUGAAAUGCGUAGAGAUGUGGAGGAACACCAGUGGCGAAGGCGGCUUUCUGGUCUGUAACUGACGCUGAGGCGCGAAAGCGUGGGGAGCAAACAGGAUUAGAUACCCUGGUAGUCCACGCCGUAAACGAUGAGUGCUAAGUGUUAGGGGGUUUCCGCCCCUUAGUGCUGCAGCUAACGCAUUAAGCACUCCGCCUGGGGAGUACGGCCGCAAGGCUG